AGGCGAUCGAGCGAACUGUGGUUAAGGAACUCGGCAAAAUGCCCCCGUAACUUCGGGAGAAGGGGGGCCAUCCACUUAUACCGUCUUGCACGGAAAAGGGUGUGGUGGCCGCAGAGACUAGUGGGUAGCGACUGUUUACUAAAAACACAGGUCCGUGCCAAGUCGCAAGACGAUGUAUACGGACUGACGCCUGCCCGGUGCUGGAAGGUUAAGAGGACCGGUUAGCCGCAAGGCGAAGCUGAGAAUUUAAGCCCCAGUAAACGGCGGUGGUAACUAUAACCAUCCUAAGGUAGCGAAAUUCCUUGUCGGGUAAGUUCCGACCUGCACGAAUGGCGUAACGACUUCCCCGCUGUCUCGACCACAGACUCGGCGAAAUUGCACUACGAGUAAAGAUGCUCGUUACGCGCGGCAGGACGGAAAGACCCCGGGACCUUUACUAUAGUUUGGUAUUGGUGUUUGGCACGGCUUGUGUAGGAUAGGUGGGAGACUGUGAAGCCAUCACGCCAGUGAUGGUGGAGUCAACGUUGAAAUACCACUCUGGUCGUACUAGAUAUCUAACCUAGGUCCGUGAUCCGGAUCAGGGACAGUGCCUGAUGGGUAGUUUAACUGGGGCGGUUGCCUCCUAAAAUGUAACGGAGGCGCUCAAAGGUUCCCUCAGCCUGGUUGGCAAUCAGGUGGCGAGUGUAAGUGCACAAGGGAGCUUGACUGUGAGACUGACAGGUCGAGCAGGGACGAAAGUCGGGACUAGUGAUCCGGCAGUGGCUUGUGGAAGCGCUGUCGCUCAACGGAUAAAAGGUACCUCGGGGAUAACAGGCUGAUCUUGCCCAAGAGUCCAUAUCGACGGCAUGGUUUGGCACCUCGAUGUCGGCUCGUCGCAUCCUGGGGCUGGAGUAGGUCCCAAGGGUUGGGCUGUUCGCCCAUUAAAGCGGUACGCGAGCUGGGUUUAGAACGUCGUGAGACAGUUCGGUCCCUAUCCGCUGCGCGCGUAGGAAGUUUGAGAGGAUCUGACCCUAGUACGAGAGGACCGGGUUGGACGAACCUCUGGUGUGUCAGUUGUUCCGCCAGGAGCACCGCUGAUUAGCUACGUUCGGGAUGGAUAACCGCUGAAAGCAUCUAAGCGGGAAGCCGGCCUCAAGAUGAGACUUCCAUGCCUUCGGGCGAGAGGCUCCCAGCCAGACUACUGGGUUGAUAGGCCAGAUGUGGAAGCGCAGCAAUGCGUGCAGCUGACUGGUACUAAUAAGCCGAUGACUUGAUAAC
rnacentral:rRNA from 1 species